AAGGACGUAAGAGAAAGUUGACAUUCAGGAACCUUCACCUUGCUGAGUGCAUCAUAUAUGCAGUGCAGAGCUGUCAUAAAUGUGAAGACUUCAAGGUAGAAACCAUGGCCACGGAUUAACUUCGCCACGCACCUGCCUGACAUCAGUCAUCUCAAAUGGAACAUUCUGCACCACAGGAGAGAGAGAUGUGAACUGCCUUAAGUGGGCCUUGAAUGUGC
rnacentral:lncRNA from 1 species